rnacentral:rRNA from 1 species
AUUGAACGCUGGCGGCAUGCUUUACACAUGCAAGUCGAACGGCAGCGCGGGCUUCGGCCUGGCGGCGAGUGGCGAACGGGUGAGUAAUACAUCGGAACGUGCCCAGUAGUGGGGGAUAGCUCGGCGAAAGCCGGAUUAAUACCGCAUACGACCUGAGGGUGAAAGCGGGGGAUCUUCGGACCUCGCGCUUUUGGAGCGGCCGAUGGCAGAUUAGCUAGUUGGUGGGGUAAAGGCCUACCAAGGCGACGAUCUGUAGCUGGUCUGAGAGGACGACCAGCCACACUGGGACUGAGACACGGCCCAGACUCCUACGGGAGGCAGCAGUGGGGAAUUUUGGACAAUGGGCGAAAGCCUGAUCCAGCAAUGCCGCGUGUGUGAUGAAGGCCUUCGGGUUGUAAAGCACUUUUGGCGGGAACGAAAAGGACUGUGCCAAUACCACGGUUCGAUGACGGUACCCGCAGAAUAAGCACCGGCUAACUACGUG